GCCCGUGUGGCUCAAUGGCAGAGCACCUGCAUGGUAAGCAGGAGACUCCAGGUUCGAUUCCUGGCGUGGGCACCA
rnacentral:tRNA from 1 species